rnacentral:tRNA from 1 species
GGCACCGUCGUUAUAGUUGGUCACCGCGUCGGCGUACAUAGCUGAAGGUCGGUGGUUCGAACCCAGCCGGUACCU